GAUGAACGCUAGCGGGAGGCUUAACACAUGCAAGUCGAGGGGCAGCACGAGGUAGCAAUACUUUGGUGGCGACCGGCGCACGGGUGAGUAACGCGUAUGCAACCUACCCUGUACAGGGGGAUAACCCGGAGAAAUUCGGACUAAUACCCCAUAAAGAUAUUUGGAGGCAUCUUUGAAUAUUUAAAGUUCCGACGGUACGGGAUGGGCAUGCGUGACAUUAGCUAGUUGGUAGGGUAACGGCCUACCAAGGCUUCGAUGUCUAGGGGUCCUGAGAGGGUGAUCCCCCACACUGGUACUGAGACACGGACCAGACUCCUACGGGAGGCAG
rnacentral:rRNA from 1 species